rnacentral:tmRNA from 1 species
GGGGCUGAUUUGGCGUUCGACGAGGAUUUAGAUAGCAGAGAUUGCAUACCAGUUUGAUUGACACUGUAAAAUCAUCAAAUAAAUUUAAACGCAAACAAUAAUAAACUAGCUCCAGCCUACGCGAGAGCAGCGUAGGUUUAACAACGCUUUUGGAGCGGGAUUUUUGUGAUUCUAACUAAACAUUUAUUCUUAAACCUAAGUUAGAUGCGUUAUUUCUAAUGGCGAAAAUAGAAAAUAACAAAGUGCAAAAUCGCCACUUGCAUAUUUUUGAAGUGUAAUAUGCAAAAGAUUUAGCUUCAUUUCUUCUUAAGUAUGUCGAGGUCUUUGUUAGGCUAGUUUUCGGACUGGAGUUCAAUUCUCCACAGCUCCACCA